rnacentral:tRNA from 2 species
GCCGAAGUGGCGGAAUCGGUAGACGCACCGGAUUCAAAAUCCGGCGUUGGCGACAACGUGUGGGUUCGAGUCCCACCUUCGGCACCA